GCGACCAUAGCGUUAUGGACCCACCUGAUCCCAUGCCGAACUCAGAAGUGAAACGUAAUAGCGCCGAUGGUAGUGUGGGGUUUCCCCAUGUGAGAGUAGGACAUCGCCAGGC
rnacentral:rRNA from 1 species